UGGGGAAUUUUCCGCAAUGGGCGAAAGCCUGACGGAGCAAUACCGCGUGAGGGAGGAAGGCUUUUGGGUUGUAAACCUCUUUUCUCAAGGAAGAAAUUUGACGGUACUUGAGGAAUAAGCAUCGGCUAACUCCGUGCCAGCAGCCGCGGUAAUACGGAGGAUGCAAGCGUUAUCCGGAAUGAUUGGGCGUAAAGCGUCCGCAGGUGGUGAUGCAAGUCUGCUGUUAAAGAGUGAGGCUCAACCUCAUAAAGGCGGUGGAAACUGCAUGACUAGAGUGCGUUCGGGGCAGAGGGAAUUCCUGGUGUAGCGGUGAAAUGCGUAGAUAUCAGGAAGAACACCGGUGGCGAAAGCGCUCUGCUAGGCCGCAACUGACACUGAGGGACGAAAGCUAGGGGAGCGAAUGGGAUUAGAUACCCCCGUAGUCC
rnacentral:rRNA from 1 species